AGUAGUUUGAGCGCCGGCAAAAGAUUCUUAGCCGAUGAGGCGUCCGUAGGUAGGGCAGGGGUAUAGUACUCACGUUUGUGCACUUACACUUUUACGACAGGCUCGGGUCUAGUCGUAUUUCUUAUGGGAAAUUUUGGAAUCGCUAGCUCAGCUUUUAGCUCUGUCCAACUUCUUCUGUUCUGGAUACUCAAGCGAGUAGCAAGUGCGCGUCGUGAAACGUUAAAUAAAAGUCUAGAACAGGAGAUAUUAAAAUAUCAGUAGCGUGAAACCUUGAUUAUUUCUAGUGGGUGCAGUUGUAUCAAAAUACCCAAACUCCAAGCUGCGCUACUGGAUUAAAUUAUAAAAGAAGAAAAAGGUCCACACAGGGCCUUUUUCUUUCUGCCUAAACCUCUAGCGUCUGGCAACCGCCGCCAUUGUGAUUUUGUGGAACCGAUCCAACGAGCCGGUGACCGCGUGUGUCUCGGGACAAAUCUGAGACCCCACCCAGCCAUCCGUCGGCAACCACUCUGUAGCUCAGGGACCCAGCAACGAAUUGCUCUCGCGGUGCGUGACCGCAAGCGAGACUCUCCUUAACUCCAGCAGUUCUUCAUCUCCAUUGAGCCUGGGUUGCCAGUGAGGAUUAAAAUCCAGGACUUACGAUCCGCCGAAAUGGUCGUGACUCCAAGGGCCGCAGUAAAGUAGUGUCCACCACGCCAAAUGCCCCAACAUCAGACCUAAGAAAUAACCGCAAGUACUAAUGUGACGUCACUAGUUUUAAGUUAAUGGCCAAAACAAAUAACUCAAAACAAUUAUGUAAAACACAAAAAUUAGCAUGCAAAAUAAUUAUGUAGUUUAAAAGCAUUUCGGAGAGUUCUUGAUUUCACUAGUAAAUUUCAUUUCGUUAAUACCGUACCCAGUACUGAGGGUGUUCAGGCCUCUCUCACUUCCGUAA